GUCUCAUUAUGCUUCGUCUCUAGUCGCCGGUGCCGCAGCCGCCUACCGCCGCAUCCCUCGCGACACCCACACCACGGGUGCCGAGAUCCCCUACCAGUGCCCUGACUACUCCUAGAGACGAAGUGCAUCGAGCUCCGCCUACUACCUCCGCUGGACAAGAAAGCUCGUGCAACGCUUCUUGUUCUUUCCAAGACCGCUGGCCGCCGCCGAAACUGCGUUGUGUCCAGCUUUCCCCUUCACCGGCAGCGAGCACACACCAGGUUCGCCUGCCCCUUGCUUCCCCUUCCUGUACGUUCACAACUUGUAUUCAGAUCUCCCAGUCCCUAGGUUAGGCUUCCCUUUUGUAUUUGGAUCUAAUCUGGCAACGAGGUAGCGGAGGUGCUAAGGGGCGCUGCGGCGCCGCAUGUGUUGGGCAGCGAGAGCUUCUUCGACGCGGGCACCGGCAUGCAGCACCACUUCGUUGACGUGCAGGGGGAGGCCGAGGCCAUGCUGUUCCUGGUGUCCGUGCGUUCUUUUGCCUUGUUCUGAAGGCAACCCUCGAAUCUUUUGCCUCGGCCUUUUGGCUAGCUGUUUCCCUGUCUAUUUGUGAAUGCUUUGCUUGUUUCCUGCGAGGCUUAUGAUCUGAUGAAGUCGACAGCAAUCUUAUUUACCUAUUCCAGCGAAUUAAGUAAUCUUUCCUAAAGAGAGUAAGCUGCAUCUUGAUUCUUGAAACUAUGCAGCCUCUGUUAUUCUUUAAUUUUGUUAGGGUGCAGGAAUAUUUUGCCAAUCUCACUAAGAUUGUUCAGACAUACGCCCUCUGUACUGAACACUAUGUAUGUCCUGCACUAAUUUAGUUUGGUACUGAACAUGGGCAAAUGCACGGUCCUUUUUUAUUGAAACGUGGGCAAAUGCACGGCGGAUCCAUAUGCAUGUCCCCUGGGUAUAGGACACCUAUAUUUUUUUUGAAUCGAGGAUAACCCCAUUUCCAUUAUCAAACGGAAAUACCAGUCAGAACAAGUGGGUCACGAGAACCCAGAUUACAGAAGCGGGGAAACAGAAAACAAGUUCAAGCUGGCAGGAUCUGGAGAAUGACAUUCAUUCUCAGAGUGCCUACAAAACGAAGUUCAGGACCUAGGAAACCCAGGAAAGUUCAGGACAAGACAGAAACAACAUCCGAGAUAACAGUUUUAGACUGAGCUACUCAAAAGACAAAGCAGAUUCAGGUUCCCUCCUCAGAAGUAUCAUCAGUUGUAUCCUGGGCGCUGGCAGCACCUUCCAACAGCAGGCGGGUUGGUGAGCGCUUCUGCUGAGCCAUCACUUUGUGGACACAAGAGACUAGGAUCUUCACACCUUCCAAGAUCUUACCCUGCAUAUCUGCCCCAUACAAACCUGCCCAGAAAGACAUGAGCGCACAAGCGAAUAGCAGGACAUCAGUAGGGUGUUUCAACAUUUUUUGGUCAAAACAGGCAUCAUUUCGACGUUUCUAGAUGGCCCAGCAAACAGCUGCUACACAAAAGGUGUAAACAGCUUGUCCACCGGGUAACCAAUGUUCAAUCCAAGAUUUGUAUUGUGUAAUAUUUCUAGGAACAUAGUUAGCUCCUAUGCAAAGAGCAAUCAAGCCCUAGGUAACUUUUGCAACUGGGCAGAGAAAGAACAAGUGGUCAAUACAUUCAUUAGAGAAGCAAAAGUAACAAGAUGGAUCACCAGUCUAGUUUCUUUUCAGCAAAUUAUCCUUAGUCAAUACAACUCCAUUUUCUAAUAGCCACAAGAAUACCUUUAUUCUGUGAGGUAUUCUAGCUUUCCAAAUAGAUGUAAAAAAAACAGAGUCAUCACCGGUUAACAAAUCAUGGACAAAUCGGAACUUGAUGCAUAUAUGGAAGAUGAACAUGUGAGAGAUGAUGAAAAUUUUGAGAUCUUGAGUUGGUGGAAGACAAAUAAAGACAAGUAUCCUGUCCUAUCAACCAUGGCACGAGACUUCCUUGCAAUUCCAUUGAGCAUUGUGUCUUCCGAGUCCGCAUUUAGUUUGAGUGGUCGGAUUCUUAGUGAUAAUCGGAGUUCAAUGACACCUGAAACCCUUGAAGCCCUUGUUUGUGUUAAGGAUUGGCUGUAUAAGCUCCCGGGCAAUGAAGACUGCUCUCAGAUUGUGGUUGACUAGCACAGAGGUGAAGACAAUGGAUGCUUUGUCGACAUCAUGAUGACUGGUUUGAGGGAGGCUACCAACAGUUUCCAACAUUUCCCUUGUGUUGAUCUCCUACUACUUGCAACACCUGCAUGUAAUAAUUUGGUACUGUUGUUGCUUGUAAUUGUACUUGAUUGUGAAUCAACACUAUUGUAGCUACACUGUGUACCUAGUACUGGCUUUGCUUCGUUCUGGGGUUGAGAUGGAUGAGCUGGUGGGGACGAACGAAGGUGGCAGGCAAUGGCGCUUAGUACCAUAUCCCAGGACACCAUGGGGGCAGCUUGCCACCACUUGAAAAAGCAUUUGGUGCAAAGGUCAACACUCAAUAGGAGGAUCACUACAGGAAAGCUUGGGCUUUUAUUUGUCAUGGAUGGUGCAUGCAUUUUGUCGCUUUUGAUGGAGGAUGAUGCCCUGUUUUGCCUCUCAUGUUCAAAAAAAUCAACUUCUGUUUGUCUCACGCAA